rnacentral:rRNA from 1 species
UACGUAGGGUGCGAGCGUUGUCCGGAAUUAUUGGGCGUAAAGAGCUUGUAGGCGGUUUGUCGCGUCUGCUGUGAAAACCCGAGGCUCAACCUCGGGCCUGCAGUGGGUACGGGCAGACUAGAGUGCGGUAGGGGGAGAUUGGAAUUCCUGGUGUAGCGGUGGAAUGCGCAGAUAUCAGGAGGAACACCAAUGGCGAAGGCAGAUCUCUGGGCCGUAACUGACGCUGAGGAGCGAAAGCAUGGGGAGCGAACAGG